rnacentral:pre_miRNA from 11 species
AGUCUUGUCUGAUAGCCAAGGAUGACUUGCCUGCCCUAUCCCAAGUGGGUCAAUUUCUUUCUUUUUUCCAAGUAGUGUUUGAUAUUUGAUAUAUCAUGAAUCCGGUUGUUUGGGUUCCAGGCAGUCACCUUGGCUAAUUUUACAGGCUCU